rnacentral:rRNA from 1 species
CCUACGGGGGGCAGCAGUAAGGAAUAUUGGUCAAUGGACGCAAGUCUGAACCAGCCAUGCCGCGUGGAGGAUGAAGGUCCUCUGGAUUGUAAACUUCUUUUCUUUGGGAAGAAACUCCCGAUUUCCAUCGGGAUUGACGGUACCAGAUGAAUAAGCACCGGCUAACUCCGUGCCAGCAGCCGCGGUCAUACGGCGGGUGCCGGCGUUAUCCGGUUUCACUGGGUUGUAGGUGUGCAUGGAAGUCCGGGUUGAAAUCGCCGGGCUUAACCCGGAAACUGCCAUUGAUACUAUUUGUCUUGAAUACUCUGGAGGUGAGCGGAAUAUGUCAUGUAGCGGUGAAAUGCUUAGAUAUGACAUAGAACACCCAUUGCGAAGGCAGCUCACUACGGAAAUAUUGACGCUGAGGCACGAAAGCGUGGGGAUCAAACAGGAUUAGAUACCCCGGUAGUC